rnacentral:tRNA from 2 species
UAUUUAUUAGUUUAAAAUAAAACAUUAUAUUUUCAAUAUAAAAAUAAUUUUUUUUUAUAAAUAA